GUGAGUCAAAACAAGCAAUGCUUCAUACAUAGAGUGUCAACAUUCUUAUGAACUCAGGAAAUGGAAGAGGUGACAUCACAAUUGCCUUUGGUUCCCUUUAUGAUUAAAAAGUUUUUUUUUUAAAUCUAAUGAAAAUCUUGAUGGGAUUAGAGUUAUUAAAGUAACAUGGAUGAAUAACUGGAAAAAAUUGAUAAGAAGUCUAAUGAGAACAGGACAGCUAAGGUAGGAUGCUUGCAAAUGUAUACUUCGGGAUCAAAGAACACCCUUAUCAAUGCUACUGCUUGUCAUCCACAGAAAAUAGAGCAGGGAAGGGAAUGAAAAAGAACAGGCUGAGGAGAUGAGACAUUCCUCACACAGCCCAAAAGAGGAAGAGGAACCAAACUGCCAACCAGAAUGAGACAGCCCUGAACUUGGCUGCCACUCACACCACUGAGGCAGAAGCAGAUGCCAAAGCAUGAAGAUCAAUAGCUGAGAAAGGCCUGCUGCACACCUUCAUCCAAGCGGUCAGUAUGAAGGACCUACCACUGUGCUGCUGCCUGGGCUGUCACUGAAAUUGCUGGAGAUACCAAAUGCAUGGUAGGGCUUUAUUCUCCAUGUCUGCAGCUUACUUUGUGCAGAGACCUCAUUAGUCUUGAAUCCUCUGCACUCUAACGUGGAAAUAGUGACCCUGCUUCUGAUCCACGGUGAGCAGCGGAAGCACCAUGGAGGCCUGGCCAUUGCUGAGAAGGGCAGGAAAAAAAGUCCAGCUUGGUACCACAGCUACUGAGAAAUGAGCUGUAGCUCUACAUAAGUAACCCAACUACUUCCUUCCAGUGGAAUCUUAAAAUCAAUCACUGGUGGUAAGGUUGUAAAGACAAGAGUGCUUGGACCCAAACUGUUCUUCCAAACCUCUGCUUCAUUGCUUUUUUUCUGGGGGUGGGGGGUACCAGGGAUUUAA